UGUGAAGACAGAGUUUUUGUUACAACAAAAGACAUGAUCGAUAGUAUAAGCUGACUUAGUAAUUUUUUAGCGUACACUAUAUAAUAACUUGUAUAACCUGCAUGUAUAUACUAUAAAAGUUAUGAUUAUGAAUGUGUGCAGGCUAAGUAUAUAUAGUUUAUGAGUGAUGAGAUAUUAUUAUGCCCUAUACUCAUUGUGAGUGAGCUGGUUAUAUUUGUGAAAAAAAGGUGUAUAGACUAGUUACUAUAUAAAGCUUGAUCAUAGAUCAUAGCAGCCUUCAGUACUCUAGUUAUAAUUAUCUGCCACGAAUCAUAAUCUCACAAUGUAUUGUUAUUGAAAAAACAGGCUGAGAUUAUCCUGUCAAUUAUAUACACAGUCAAAAAUUGCAUGCGUGUAAUUUUUGUCUCAAUGUGUGUCACCAGGAGUGCAUGAAUCAUGCACUCCUGGUGUCACAAAUGAAUGCAUCCAAUCAACAACCAAGCCAGCACAAUAACAUGUGACCACCUUAAUUGAAUUCAUUGCUUGAGCCACACCCUAAAUUCUGUCUACGCUUGCAAACCAAAGUGCUCAGCUAAUUAAGCUUUUAUUCUUCAUGGACUACAAGGCUGGAUCCCCACCUCCCUACCAGGCUAUACCAGACUCAGAUCAUGCAUUUAAUCAACAACAAGUGGUCGUACAGCCUUCAACUUAUGGUACCCCCCUGCCUUUAGUAUUUGCAGAUGUCCCAGUGACCAUCACAGAUGCUCAUGGCAACCAGGUUUGAACAGAGCUGGAUUAUCG